UAGGAAGUGGUGUAAUGGAAGCACUUGGAGUUUUGAUCUCUAGGAUACGGGUUCGAGUCCCUUCUUUCUAA
rnacentral:tRNA from 3 species